rnacentral:rRNA from 1 species
UACGUAGGGCGCAAGCGUUGUCCGGAAUCAUUGGGCGUAAAGAGCUCGUAGGCGGCCUGUUGCGUCCGCUGUGAAAUCCCGGGGCUUAACCCCGGGCGUGCAGUGGAUACGGGCUGGCUGGAGGCAGGCAGGGGAGAACGGAAUUCCCGGUGUGAGCGGUGAAAUGCGCAGAUAUCAGGAGGAACACCGGUGGCGAAGGCGGCAUCCUGGACCGGCACUGACGCUGAGGAGCGAAAGCCAGGGGAGCAAACGGG